UACGUAGGGGGCAAGCGUUGUCCGGAUUCAUUGGGCGUAAAGAGCGUGUAGGCGGCCAGGUAGGUCGGUUGUGAAAACUGGAGGCUCAACCUUCAGAGGUCGACCGAAACCAUCUGGCUAGAGUCCGGGAGAGGAGAGUGGAAUUCCUGGUGUAGCGGUGAAAUGCGCAGAUAUCAGGAGGAACACCAAUGGCGAAAGCGGUUCUCUGGCAAUGUUCUGACGCUGAGGAGCGAAAGUGUGGGGAGCGAACAGG
rnacentral:rRNA from 1 species